GCCAGACUCCUACGGGAGGCAGCAGCGGGGAAUAUUGCACAAUGGGGGAAACCCUGAUGCAGCGACGCCGCGUGAGCGAAGAAGUAUUUCGGUAUGUAAAGCUCUAUCAGCAGGGAAGAAAAUGACGGUACCUGACUAAGAAGCUCCGGCUAAAUACGUGCCAGCAGCCGCGGUAAUACGUAUGGAGCAAGCGUUAUCCGGAUUUACUGGGUGUAAAGGGAGCGCAGGCGGCUUUGCAAGUCUGAUGUGAAAGCCCGGGGCCCAACCCCGGAACUGCUCUGGAAACUGUGCGGCUAGAGUACUGGAGGGGCAGGCGGAAUUCCUAGUGUAGCGGUGAAAUGCGUAGAUAUUAGGAGGAACACCAGUGGCGAAGGCGGCCUGCUGGACAGUAACUGACGUUGAGGCUCGAAAGCGUGGGGAGCAAACAGGAUUAGAUACCCUCGUAA
rnacentral:rRNA from 1 species